AGUGAACGCUGGCGGUAGGCCUAACACAUGCAAGUCGAACGGCAGCACAGUAAGAGCUUGCUCUUACGGGUGGCGAGUGGCGGACGGGUGAGGAAUACAUCGGAAUCUACUUUUUCGCGGGGGAUAACGUAGGGAAACUUACGCUAAUACCGCAUACGACCUACGGGUGAAAGCAGGGGAUCUUCGGACCUUGCGCGAUUGAGUGAGCCGAUGUCGGAUUAGCUAGUUGGCGGGGUAAAGGCCCACCAAGGCGACGAUCCGUAGCUGGUCUGAGAGGAUGAUCAGCCACACUGGAACUGAGACACGGUCCAGACUCCUACGGGAGGCAGCAGUGGGGAAUAUUGGACAAUGGGCGCAAGCCUGAUCCAGCCAUACCGCGUGGGUGAAGAAGGCCUUCGGGUUGUAAAGCCCUUUUGUUGGGAAAGAAAAGCAGCAGGUUAAUACCCCGCUGUUCUGACGGUACCCAAAGAAUAAGCACCGGCUAACUUCGUG
rnacentral:rRNA from 1 species